GACGAACGCUGGCGGCGUGCUUAACACAUGCAAGUCGAACGGAAAGGCCCUGCUUGCAGGGUACUCGAGUGGCGAACGGGUGAGUAACACGUGGGUGAUCUGCCCUGCACUUCGGGAUAAGCCUGGGAAACUGGGUCUAAUACCGGAUAUGACCUUCCAUGUAGUGUGGGGGGUGGAAAGAUUUAUCGGUGUGGGAUGAGCCCGCGGCCUAUCAGCUUGUUGGUGGGGUAAUGGCCUACCAAGGCGUCGACGGGUAGCCGGCCUGAGAGGGUGGACGGCCACAUUGGGACUGAGAUACGGCCCAGACUCCUACGGGAGGCAGCAGUGGGGAAUAUUGCACAAUGGGCGGAAGCCUUAUGCAGCGACGCCGCGUGGGGGAUGACGGCCUUCGGGUUGUAAACCUCUUUCGACAGGGACGAAGCUUCGGUGACGGUACCUGUAUAAGAAGCACCGGCUGACUACGUG
rnacentral:rRNA from 1 species